GCUAGCGUAGCAAAAUCUGGUUUUGCCAAAGACCUAAACUCUUUCUAUAGAAGUUCAAAUCUUCUCGCUAGCU
rnacentral:tRNA from 1 species